rnacentral:tRNA from 1 species
GCGCCAGUAGCUCAGUUGGAUAGAGCGGCAGCCUUCUAAGCUGCAGGUCGGGGGUUCGAUCCCCUCCUGGCGCACCA